AUUCCUACCGUCCGGUGGAAUCUCGGAUGUCGGAGACCUCUAGAAGGGUAGAAUCAUGUUUUAUAAAAUGUUUUCAUGUAUUAUAAUGUUUUAAAGUAUGAAACUAAAGGAGUUUUUGCAUGAAAAGUCUUUGGAGGAAAAUCCAGGUUCGGCCGCCGAAAGUCAAGUUCGGCCGCCGAACGUGCAUGCGUUUUGGAGGCACGUUAAGCCCCCGAAAGCAUGAGUGAGGAAAGUGCAGGUUCGGCCGCCGAACCUCAUGUUCGGCCGCCGAACAUUUGCAUGGAUGCGGAGGCACAUUCGGCCCCCGAACGUGGCCUGGCCAGCCACUAUAAAAGGGUCCCUUAGCCGAAAAUGGGCGAGCUUUUUCUCCCCAUUUCGGCCAAGGUGAGCAUCUCCGCCAUCUUUGCUCAAUCUUGAGAUUUUCCUUCAUUUUUCCAUGAUUUUUACAAGUUUAUAACUUUGGUUUUGAAGAUCUUUGAGCUUAGAACGAGUUUUGGAGCUUGGAGACCAAAAGUUGGAACUUAUCCCAUCUCCAAGUUUAGAUCUCCUCAACCCUCUCGAUCUUCAAGAGGUAGGAGCCGAUCUUAAACUCCUCAAGUGUUUUAAGUAAGUUUUAAGUGAUUUUAUGGGGUAGAAUGGCAUGUAUAGGGUUGUAUGAGUUUUUAAGCAAAUGUUAGGUUUUAUGUGAUUCUUGAGCAAUGUGGCAUGUUUGAGUAUGCUUGAAGUGUUGUAGUUGGGGUAUAUGUAUGUUUGAGGCCCCN
rnacentral:lncRNA from 1 species